AGGAGGAGAUACAAAGAUGGAGGGGAGCUAUGAAUGUAGUCGGACAUAUCUCUGGACCUUUUUACAGUUAUAUGAACAAGGGCUCCAUUAUCUUCAUUCUUCAUCACUAAUCUUAUUCCUAUGCAUUUAUAAUACUAGACAAUAUGACUGGUAAAGACUUCGACAUACAUCUUCUCUAAGACAUGGCCACAAGGCACAACUUUCCAACAUCAAAACUGAUUGUUGAUCUAGCUG
rnacentral:lncRNA from 1 species